GUGGGUAUAGCUCAAUUAUAGAUUGCAUGCUUAGCAUGCAUGAGGUCCUGGGUUCAAUCCCCAGUACUACCA
rnacentral:tRNA from 1 species